CUGCUGCUCCCUUUUUCUUCAAAGCCUGGGACACUCAAGAUUUUUUCAGGCAACAGACCAGAGUUCGGUGUUUGAGAGGUCUGUUUCUUGAAGCAGCUCCUGCUUCACUUCUCUGAUGGUAGAAAGCAGUCUUCAGCCUGAGUCCCAUCCCUAGGACCUUGUUUAUUAUUUUUUGUCUUUGAGCAAAAGUUUUUUUCUUCUCAGUUGACGGAAUACUGUUUUCUUCAUAUGCUUCUGCUGUCUCUCCUUUUCUUCCACCUUCUCCUGCAUGUGGUACGUGAAACAGUUUAUAAUAGCCUGUGGCUCCUUAAAGAAAAUGGAGAAGGCACUAGAUUCCUUUUGGGGAGAAACCUGUUUUUUCUUACGGAACCCCAAGAACGUAAACAGGCAAGUUCAAGUUCAUUUCAGCUCUUAAACUGCUUACUUUUGUAUUAUGUUACCUGUUUUUUUGGUUGUUUUUGCUGAAAUAGUGCCA